rnacentral:rRNA from 1 species
GAUGAACGCUAGCUACAGGCUUAACACAUGCAAGUCGAGGGACCGGCGCACGGGUGAGUAACACUUAUACAACCUGCCCUUUACCCGGGGAUAGGCUUUCGAAUGAAAGACUAAUACCAGAUAUAUAGGAGUGGGAUGCGUUCCUUUAGCUUGUUGGUGAGGUAACGGCCCACCAAGCCUUCGCCGGAUAGGGGUUCUGAGAUGAAGGUCCACCACAUUGGAACUAAGACACGGUCCAAACUCCGACGUGAGGCAGCAGUGAGGAAGAUUGGGCAAUGGGCGCUAGCCUGAACCAGCCAAGUGGCGUGAAGGAUUAAGGCGUAUGGAUCGUAAACUUCUUUUAUAUAAGAAUAUGUAUUAUAUGAAUAAGGAUCGGCUAACUCCGUGCCAGCAGCCGCGGUAAUAC